rnacentral:rRNA from 1 species
UACGGAGGAUGCGAGCGUUAUCCGGAAUUAUUGGGCGUAAAGCGUCCGUAGGUGGUCAUGCAAGUCUGCCGUUAAAGAAUGGAGCUCAACUCCAUAAAGGCGGUGGAAACUGCAAGACUAGAGUACAGUAGGGGUAGCAGGAAUUCCCAGUGUAGCGGUGAAAUGCGUAGAUAUUGGGAAGAACAUCGGUGGCGAAAGCGUGCUACUGGGCUGAAACUGACACUGAGGGACGAAAGCUAGGGUAGCAAAAGGG